rnacentral:rRNA from 1 species
GAUGAACGCUGGCGGCGUGCCUAACACAUGCAAGUCGAACGGAAACAAAGCGCUUCGGAGACUUCGGUCAAUGUUUGCUUUGUUUUAGUGGCGGACGGGUGAGUAACGCGUGGAUAACCUGCCAUAUACAGGGGGAUAACAGUUAGAAAUGACUGCUAAUACCGCAUAAGCGCACGGGACCGCAUGAUCCUGUGUGAAAAACUCCGGUGGUAUAUGAUGGAUCCGCGUUUUAUUAGCUAGUUGGCGGGGUAACAGCCCACCAAGGCGACGAUCAGUAGCCGGCCUGAGAGGGUGAACGGCCACAUUGGGACUGAGACACGGCCCAAACUCCUACGGGAGGCAGCAGUGGGGGAUAUUGCACAAUGGGGGAAACCCUGAUGCAGCGACGCCGCGUGAGUGAAGAAGUAUUUCGGUAUGUAAAGCUCUAUCAGCAGGAAGAUAAUGACGUACCUGACUAAGAGCACCGGCUAAUACUGCCAGCAGCCGCGGUAAUACGUAUGGUGCAGCGUUAUCCCGAUUUACUGGGUGGUAAGGAGCGUAGACGCAGCAGCUGAUGGGAAGCAUGGCCACCUACUCAUGAACGUUACUAAUUCGAGAUGGAUCUAUUACGUAUGUAUUGAACUGAGCUUGAACUUUAUAUGGAAAAGUGCCCAAGAAC